rnacentral:Y_RNA from 1 species
AGCUGGUUAGAAGGCAGUGAGUUAUCUCACUUGAUCGUUCACAGUUACGGACUGAACUCCUUGUUCUACUACUUUCCCCCUUCUCACUAUAGCACUUGACUAAAAA